rnacentral:RNase_P_RNA from 1 species
UAGGACUGUCGGGCGGUUGCUCUACUCUUUCGAGAGUAGGUAGGAAAGUCCGAACACCCGUUUGUUCGCAAGAGCAGACGACAAAGAAAGUUGCUAACGGCAACCGGGUAUACAAUCAGGCCCUGAGGAGCUGGAAUAUUGCUCCUUAGCGUGCGGAUUAAAGCUUAGGGAAAGUGCCACAGAGACAAUACUAGCUCCGACGCCCCUUGGGGUACGGAGUGAAACGUGAAAAGUGAUGUGAUGUCCUCGGGCUACACAUUUCGUCCUACGGCGACGUAGUGACGUGGUAAACCCUUUCUGGUGCAAGAGCAAAUUUGGUAGCUCGCUAGAGCUCAUUAGCAAUAAUGAGACAAGAUAAAUGAUCGCCUCCCACGCUUCGGUGUGGAAGACAAGAUUCGGCUUACAGACAUUUCCUGAGAC